UUCUCAAUGGCUCAAACUGACCAUCCUGAGCCAAUACCUGGGGCUUAGGAGAAGAUGAUACUGGCUGGCAGACCUGAAUCAUAUGGCCAGACUUGUUUGCUUUGCUUUUAUAAAAAACCCUAACCUGUCCUUCUGGCUGUGUUAUCACUGGGUUUGGUCUGAGAAGAGCCAAGGAGUACUCACAGAAGCCACCACAAUGUGAAAGUCAUGGGGCAGAACUCAGCCAGCAUACCAGAGACUUCCUUCAACAUGUAUCAACGGCUAUUUCCUUAACACCAUUAUGGAGGCUGCAAAGAAGUAUACAUCAUAGUCCCUGACUUCAAGGAACUUUUGAGCUAAUUGAGGAGACAAGAAUUAAAUGCACAAAAGUUUCAAUAACACUACAAGCUGCAAUAUAAGAGACACAUUAAGGCAGAAGAAUGCAUGAUUCAGUGUCAAAUAAGGUGUGCAGAUGGCACUGGGAGGGAGCUCGCUGUGGGCUACGUGCUCAG
rnacentral:lncRNA from 1 species